UACGAAGGGGGCUAGCGUUGCUCGGAAUCACUGGGCGUAAAGCGCACGUAGGCGGAUCUUUAAGUCAGGGGUGAAAUCCUGGAGCUCAACUCCAGAACUGCCUUUGAUACUGGGGAUCUCGAGUCCGGAAGAGGUGAGUGGAACUCCGAGUGUAGAGGUGAAAUUCGUAGAUAUUCGGAAGAACACCAGUGGCGAAGGCGGCUCACUGGUCCGGUACUGACGCUGAGGUGCGAAAGUGUGGGGAGCAAACAGG
rnacentral:rRNA from 1 species